rnacentral:lncRNA from 1 species
AUACGUAUCCUUUUUUAUGCGUUACAGUUGGAUAUUUCUCACAUAUCGGUUGUUUUUUUUUUAUAUAACGUUUCCAAUUUAUGACUAGAAUAUGAUUUUCUAGAUUCUGGCAGUGUAGCUUUUCUCUAAACUAUCUGGAUUUUAAAAAAUCACCAUAAAUAAUCUACUAAGAAUUUUUGGAUCAUUAUUAUCUUUGCGUGUAGCUAACUUCCAGAGUUAUUUUUAGACAUAAAUAUCAUCUCUUAACUCAUUAUAUAUCAAGAGAUAUAGAUUUUACAAAAUCAGGACAACCUAGUCAUUUUUUUGGAAAUUAUUCUAGAUUUUGUUCUAUGUUUUUCUUGUUUGAUUUCUUGAUUUCUCUUGUCUGAUUCUUGUUUAUACAAGUUUAAUCCAUCACAAAUAAGCAUAAACAUGCCCUCUUUCUAUAAACUUCAUAAAACAUUAACAACCAUACAUGAAAAUCAAAUGAUUAAUCAAGAUUUUAAAUAUACAUCAACUAGGUGCUUAUUUUAAUUUUUUAUCCUUUCAUGACUUCCCUUUUCUUCCUCUUUUUCUCCUCUCCAUACUCAACUCAACCGUCUCUCUUAAUCACCAUGUGACUGCCGAGAGUCUCAUAGAGAAAUGGCCUAGCUUACUUACUUUACUUCCUUUUUAAUUAUAAGCAUGAGUUGAUAAGUCCAAACUAAAAAAUGAUCUUUAGUCAAAAAUGUCAAAGCUUCUCAAGGAAGCUACGUCCCCCUUAACCAUAUCUCCAACCGGGACUCAACAUGCUGGAAAUUUCCAGAAUAAGCUAUCUUUUUCCUUUUGUUCAAUUAUUUGAAAUUUUGAUCCACUUUUUGUCCUUUUGACAUAAAAAAUCAACUUUUCAUGUUUACAAUCGUUUCCUACUAAAGUUGAUAUCCUGAUCAUCAUGUCGAUGUCUGUUUCUUCAAAUUCAUCUCCAAACUCUAAAUUUGAUUUUUCCUCAUAAAUGUCAACUGUUGUCUUUUACCAAAAAAUAAAUCCCAACACCAUAUUGUGUUUGUUGUCUUCACCUACCAAAUUUGACGUUCUAGAUUCAACUCAAAUUCCAUCUAGAACUCUAAUUUGAGUUUUGAACUGUAUAUCUUUCUUUGUUCCAUCCCCUUCUAACCAUAUAUAUAGCUCCCUCACAUAUGUAUCCUUUUUUACGCGUUACAGUUGGAUAUUUCUCGCAUAUCAGUUGUUUUUCUUUGAUAUACCGUUUUCCAAUUUAUGACUUUAAAUGAAUUUCAAUUUUCAUUUCUUAUUGAACUUUAAAUUUUUCAUGCAUAAUUCUUAUUUUCAUUUGUAAUCGCAUUUAUAAUUAUUGAAACUUAUGUUACGUUUGGAUUGAAGGAAUAAAAUGGAGAGUGAAAUGAUUCAUUAUGUUCUAGUUGGAAUGAGUUAUUUCAUACUCUCCAUCUUCCAAAGAAUAAAAUUCAUAAAUUUGAGAGGAAUAAGAAUGGUUCAAUCGAUAAUUCCAAUCGCAACCAAACACAAAUUUUUUUCAUUCUAUUCUCACCUUCAUUUCUCCAAUCCAAACGUAGCAUUAGAGUAUUACAACCUUUCUUUAUUUUUAACGUUUUAGUUUUUCAAUAUAGUCAUUUAUGACACUAAAUAAAAUUAGAUUUUUAUUUCAUUGAAAUUUCAGUUACAAUGUUUUAUUCAUAUUUUUAAAUCUUGUUUACAUUUCUUGAAAACUUCGGGUAUUACAUACUAACAAAUCAAGGGUCUGAAUUAUGAAAUAGAUCGUUACAAAUAGAUCCAAAAUUAUGAAAAUUAGAAGGAUAGGCCGAAACGACAUUUUGAUGUGAAAUGAUCAAAAUGUCACUAAAAGAUUAAAAUUGUAAUUCAGUAAAUACGCACACCUAGAGGGAGGGGAGGGGAGGGGAGGGGGGGGGGGUGAAUAGGUGUUUAAAUUAAAAAUGAUAAACGGUGAAAACUUUUUUGAAAUUUUCUGCUACAGGUUAAAUUCAGACAGCUACACCUGUCUGCUUUAGUGUCUGCUUUAACUUAUGUUCUUUGUUCAAUAUUAUCAGAUAGCUAUACCUGUCUGCUUUAGUGUCUGGAUUCGUAUUAAUAAAGCAAAAUACCCAAAAAUUAAGCAACAGAAAGGAGAAGUGCAGAAACGUAAAGAUACCAAGAUUUUUUUACGUGUUUCAGCCCCUAUCCUCUAUCUAGUAGCCCAAUUCACGUCCAAUCUCAACUAGGAUUGGAGACUCUCUUUAUUAUAAUUUAAACCUCAAUACAAAAGAUAACUCCCUGUUACAAAGAAGCCUCAAAUCUGAUGUUGGACAGCUAUGCCCCCUUUUUGCACCUCUGCAACUUGUACACCUCUGCACCACUUCUCACCUCUGAGACCCUUGAAACCUUCUAUGAACAGACUAAUUAAAUAAGAAACCUCAAGCCAAAACUAUGCUUAAGUUCAGUUUAUAAAGAAUGAGUAAAAUAAAUUUCCAGCACAAAAGAAUAUAAUAGACUACAAUAAAUGGCUGAAAUAAAGCAAUUGAAGUGCUCUGAUGUAGUAUUUCAACUUGAUUGCAGGUUCAGGAGAUGUUCUUGUUCAGCUGAAGAGAAGGAGUAUAUAUAACGAGACAAGCAACGACUAUAAAAGAUGUUAGCUAAGAAAACUCAGUCCCGUUAGAAACCAUCCAUGAUUUCAGCAGCUUUGUAUAACCAAAAAGAUAAUAUGUUGUGACGCCCCCAAAUCCAGGUUCUCUAACCUCAGAUUCAGUGCUCAUGAUCCUAUCAUCAUCAUAAGCAUUCUAUAACUAUUUCGAAAUAAUAAACAUACAUUGUUCAUUAUACAAAAGUCUCAAAACAUGGUCCCAAGGUCUCUCUAACCUUAACUUUAAAUACAC